rnacentral:rRNA from 1 species
UACAGAGGGGGCAAGCGUUGUUCGGAAUUACUGGGCGUAAAGGGCGCGUAGGCGGCCUGUUAAGUCGAACGUGAAAUCCCCGGGCUCAACCCGGGAACUGCGUCCGAUACUGGCAGGCUUGAAUCCGGGAGAGGGAUGCGGAAUUCCAGGUGUAGCGGUGAAAUGCGUAGAUAUCUGGAGGAACACCGGUGGCGAAGGCGGCAUCCUGGACCGGCAU